CCUGCUCCUACAGGCAUUGCAGAUAUGGUUUCUGAGUCAUGUAUGGGUCAGUAGGUGGCAGAGAGGAGAGAGGCUAUGUCUAUAUUAAAUGCUCUGACCCAUGAACAUCUGAACAAUUCAUAGCCUAACAUU